AUGAUUUCCAUAGAGAGGAGGCUUUGCAUCAUCAGAUGCAGCGGUCAGGUGACUGUGACUCAACCUCCAGUAGUGACAUCUACUCCUGGAUCCACUGUCACUCUGACCUGUAGGACCAGCCAAGCUGUUGCUAGCUGUCGUGAUGGUCUGUGUAUGUACUGGUAUCAACAGAAAUCUGGACAGACCACAAAGCUCCUAAUUCGACAUGUGAGCAUAAGACAUUCAGAAACACCAACUCGAUUUAGUGGCAGUGGAAGCAGCUCUGACUUCUCUAUGACCAUCAGUGGAGUUCAGGCUGAAGAUGCAGCAGUUUACUACUGUAAGAGUAUCCAUGUAAUAAACAGUGCUGAUGUGUUCACACAGUGA